UACGUAGGGUGCAAGCGUUGUUCGGAUUCAUUGGGCGUAAAGGGUGCGUAGGCGGCGGGGCAAGUCUGAUGUGAAAUCCCGGGGCUCAACCCCGGAACUGCAUUGGAUACUGCCUUGCUAGAGUACUGGAGAGGGAACUGGAAUUUACGGUGUAGCAGUGAAAUGCGUAGAGAUCGUAAGGAAGGCCAGUGGCGAAGGCGAGUUCCUGGACAGUUACUGACGCUGAGGCACGAAGGCCAGGGGGAGCAAACGGG
rnacentral:rRNA from 1 species